AUGAGAAGUCUGGCCAACGAGUCCCAAGAAAAUCUGCAUCUGCUACUGCAAGUACUAAACACUAGCUUGGAAUUUGUCUCAGCCAACGGGGCAAAUGGAAGUUCGAGUCAGAUACUGGACAGCCUUUUAACUCAGGUUUGUGCUCUGGAAAACAUGACGUCUGUGCAGCAGAUCAGUCAGUUUCUACCUCUGGGCCCCAGAUUACUUUGCGACACUGUUGUUCCAGCAGUCCAAGCGGUCUAUGUGCUCACAACCAGCUUGGGGAACCAUAGCGUCAACAUCUAUGAUCUGAUUUUCCAGACGUUUAUUGGAGACCUGAGCACUUACAACACUGGAGUGGACUGGACAUCAAUUCUCUCUCAAAUUGUGGGCUUCAACGUCUCCUCUCUGAAAACUAUUAGUAUCAACAUUACCUCUCCAGCUGAAGUGAAAGUUUCAGAGCUGCUGAAAAACACAACACUGUUUGUUGAGGAUGUGGAGCGCUACACAAGCUUUCCCCCUGGCGUUCUGCAGACUGUGCUAGAUUCCCCUUUACCCAGCAGCAACAUGCAGAUCUUGGUGUGGUUGGCAAACCUGCAGCAGUGUUCAGACCCCUCGUCUCUGCAACUAGACCCUGCAGGGCAGGCAAUGUUCAGUGCCUUCUGUGAUCUGUCAGAUGACUGGUACACCAUCAGCAUUCUCUUCCUUCGCCACAUGGACACCAAGGCUAUUUUAUUCAGGGUAAACAACUGGGGAGCACAGAGGGAACUGUUUGUAAUGUAUAUCUGGUGAAACAGAAAUGCUGCUUCUCUCAAAUAAUUUUAGUCAGAUAAGAUAUAGAGGUGAAGUCAAAAUGAUUAGCCCUCCUGUGAUUUUUUUUUUCUUUUCUUUUCUUUUGCAAAUAUUUGCCAAAUGAUGUUUAUUGGGGAAAUAUAUACAGGGCCUAAUAAUUCAGGAGGGUGAAUAAUUUUGACUUCAGCUGUAUAUAUUAAACAAUUUUGGUUACUUUUUCUUUGUAAAUAAAUAAGUGUAUUAUGCAAUAUGUUGUUACCCAGUGGUGCUGUGUGCUGUAAUACUGUGAAAUGUUGUUGCAGCUGAUGUUGUCCCAAGAUAUUCAGGAUUUGGUGGCAACUAUGCUAGAGAUGGUUAAGUUUUUGACAAACAUGAUGAACAAACUGGUACCUGCCAUUAACAAGCUACAGGAAUACCUGACAAACAUAGGACAGCUGAACCUGGUGGCCAAUCAAGAGUUCCAUGGUGUAAGUUCCCUUUUUUUCCUUUUUUUCUUUUUUCUUUUUUCUACUUUUUUGUUUUUCUUCUUUUCUUUUUUCUUUUUUCCCUUUUCUUUUCUUUUCUUUUCUUUUCUCUUUUAUUUUAUUUAAUUUCUUUUCUCUUUUCCUUUUCUUUCUUUCUUUCUUUCUUUCUUUCUUUCUUUCUUACUUUCUUUCUUUCUUUCUUUCUUUCUUUCUUUCUUUCUUUCUUUCUUUCUUUCUUUCUUUCUUUCUGUCUUUUCUUUUUCUAAUUUCUUUACUUUUUAUUCUUUUCUGUUCUCUUUUUAUUUUCUUAUCUCCUUUUUCUUCUUUGCUUUUCAUUUCUUUUCUUUUCUUU
rnacentral:lncRNA from 1 species